rnacentral:rRNA from 1 species
CCUACGGGUGGCAGCAGUAGGGAAUAUUGCACAAUGGGGGAAACCCUGAAGCAGCAACGCCGCGUGAAGGAUGACGGUUUUCGGAUUGUAAACUCCUUUUGUCAGGGAAGAUAAUGACGGUAUCUAACGAGUAAGCACCGGCUAACUCCGUGCCAGCAGCCGCGGUAAUACGUAGGGUGCGAGCGUUACUCGGAUUCACUGGGCGUAAAGAGCGCGUAGGCGGGAUGUUAAGUCAGAUGUGAAAUCCUAUGGCUUAACCAGAGUACUGCAUUUGAAACUGGUAUUCUAGAGUAUGGGAGAGGUAGAUGGAAUUCUUGGUGUAGGGGUGAAAUGCGGAGAGAUCAAGAAGAAUACGAAUUGCGAAGGCGACCUGCUAGAACAUAACUGACGCUGAUGCGCGAAAGCGUGGGGAGCAAACAGGAUUAGAUACCCCUGUAGUC